GGGACCGCUGGAUUAAGGCGACAAAAAUUGGUCUCCUUAAUAUUUUCAGUCCAGAUUUGAUGUAUCAAAUGUCAAUAAAAAUGUCCAUUGACAGUAAGUUGAUAAGCUUGAAUGUUUAUUUACGAGAUCAUUUCAUUGUUUUAAAUCUUAUUAUCUUUUAAUAUUAAAAAAAAUAUUCUUAAACUUUUGUGUGUGUAUAUUUGUGUAUCCAUAAAAAUAGCUAUUAAGGCGACCAGGGAAAAAAUCAUAAUUUUGGUCAAAAAUAGCUAUAUACUAAGCAUUUUUUAUUUGUUUUACUUUAUUUAAAGCCUAUUGUAUUUUAUCCCGAAGUUUCAUUCCAUAAAAAACAGAAAUAAGGAAAUUCGAUAUUUCGUGUACCACCAGCAUCCAAAUUUUCAAGUAUACAGAAAUUUAACUUUCCGGAAUAUAACGGAAAUUUUCGGGUAUCUCCGUGGUACCAUCUCCGUGCAAUUAUGCAGUAUGGCGUUCAUCUCUUACGGAAAGAGAAUGGUAACUUGUUGCUGCUUGGGACAAUAAAGUUAAGUCAGCAACCGUCUACCAGACUGCAAGAUUCAUCUCUUCCAAAGGAUGUCGUACCUUUCCAGAUACACUGUGUUUUGUGUGGAUAAGAAAUGCAGAGUGGUACCACCAAUCACCUAAGCCACCAUUCCCCUAACAGACAAUAGGCUCAUGGGGACAGUUCCUGCAAUUUACAGAAAAGCUCUCAAUUGUAGCCCUACGAACUUCAGAUACUGCCGAUGGUGAAGCUUGGGUGCACCGGGCCGGUUUUCCAGCCGUGUGGAAUCAACAUCUCCAGCUGAACUGGGGCCGGGAAUUAUAUAAGACUCCUUAGCAGCAUGAGUGCCAGCCAGUCAUUGCUGUUCUUGCAUUGCUGAGGAGGACAGUCCUGCCAACAUAACAGUUUGUUCAAUAACAGGAGACAAACAGAAACACAGGUGCUAUACAUUCUGAUGGAAAAACAAAAGCAUCUCCCAUCAUUUUGGCGUGGCUCAGAUCAAGAGGAGAAUUUUAAGAAAGGUGAUGGUUGGGCACACACAAGAAGACAUAUAUCACAGGCGUCUAGCCAUAUGAGUAGAUAGGAGUGUCACACUCUGCCAAACUUACUUCAUCAGACGAGCAGAAAGCUUCUCAAGAUCCCGCACUGCACACUAAGACAUAGUCUUUGACUACAACAAGGUGAUGAAAGUACAGAAAGGUCCAAUUGAAAUCAAUUCUGUGCUGCUGUCAUUUCUUCAUUCUGGAAGUCGAUGGACAUGAUUUAUCAUGGCAUCAAGUGUGCAGUCUGUCGACUAUCAGCAGUCUUGUUCACCAGCUGUGCAACUUGAGCUGGUAGCUUUAUUGCUUGAAGCCACUGCAUAAGAGGGGGAAGGUGCAGGCUCAUCAAAAAGUCUCAAAAGUUGAAACUAGGAAAAGAAGUUUAUCAAGAGUGAAUCUAUUUUGAAAACAAUCGUUACAAUGAUUUGGUUUCCUUUGAAACUUGAUACAUACUAUGAAUUGAGAUGCUUAAAUAAAAAAACGCUAUUCAAAUAUCAGGAAACUGCCUUUUUCAUACUAAAGGGUAAAUGAUGUCGCCAUUUCCUGUAUGUAUUUAAAUAAGAUAUGUCUCCACAAUUAAUAUUUUUAGGGAAUUUUUCUCAACCUAAUGAAUGAGAUUAAAUUGUACAGCGUUAUAUGAGCUUAAUAUGUGUUUUCUCAUUCUUUAAAAUUGGUGAAAAAUUGUCAGAAGAUAAUUAGACCAGUAUCCAUUACUGCAAUCAUACAAUCAAAUAUACAGGGACAAGCCCACUGGGCAUAUAAUAUAAUUAAACCCUGUUUAGGGGCACGAGGCAAACAGAGUUACUUUCAAACGUUAAAGCUGCACUCUCACACUUUGGAUGUUUUGACAACCUUUUUCAUUUUAUGUCUUGGAUUGGAACCAUCCAAUUUUUGCGAAAAAUUAAAUCCCAGAUUUUUCUAUUUAAGUUAAAACAUUGAUGUUUUUUAUGCACUUUUCUUAAACCGUUAGUAACAUUAAUUUUCGAACGGAAAUAUGAAAUCUGUGAUCUGAUCUUUUGUCAGCAAUCUUUUAUCAUUGGUUUGCAGAUAAUUACGCAAAAACUUGCUCAUUCGAAGACAAAAAAAGUUGUGGAAACGGUAUAUCUGUGAGAGUGCAGCUCUAAAUGUUUAAUUGCUUGAAAUUACAGGGGUUGGGGCAUAUUUUUAGUGUUUUUAUUGCUUGUUUUUGAUUCAUACAGUCAUACUUUAUUCUUCAGGGCACAACUUACAAAUAAACAAAACUGGAAAAUGGUCAUAUCAAAAGGUCAAAGAUAAUGCAAGUUGAACAAUCAUAUUGUUCAUGGCUUGUAUUUUUGGUAUAUUUUGUUGCAUAUGCUAUAGAAAAGUUGAAAGUUAAAAAUAAAUUCAUAGUUGAAAUGAUGGCUUUGAAUGGUAUUGUCAGAUGAGAAACGGCACUAUUAAGAAAUAGGUAUAAUGGUACUUUAUUUAUUUUAAUCAAUUUGAGAUAUUAUGAAAAUUAUUAUCUUAUUUAGUACAUGAGACCUUUUAAAGAGUUAUUGACAAUAUAACAAUGUGUAUAUGAAGCUUUAGAUCAACACUUAAAGCUGCACUCUUACAGAUUGUCAGUUUAGACACAAAAUUGUCUCAAAAUCGGCUGAUUUGGUUAUCAUUCCUUUAAUUCAGUCAUAUUAGAUAAUUUACAAUAGAACCAAUCAAAAAUGUUUGGUAAAACUGCCGAAAAGUUAAUUUACAUUAAAUUGUUUGUAAUGCUUUUAGUCAUUGUUCGUAAUGCUUUUUGUCAUAAAACAUCAUUUUUUUAACAUGAAUAUGAUGAACUGCAAUCUGAUCUUUUUUCAGCAGUCUUAUAUCACUUGGGUCUAGACAUUUCUGCAAAAAAUACUCCAUUUAUUGACAAACAAUAAAAGAGUACCGGUAGUCAAAACGAUCAAUCGGUGAGAUUGCAGCUUUAAAUACACCUUUUAAGACCGCUGUAAAAUUCCAAUGGUUUGCCUAAGUCUUUAAAGCUAGCAUACUGUUUAAUUGACAACCAUACUUAUUGUUUAAAAGUGUUAUGAUAUCUUUGCACAAUGUUUUUAUAUAAUUCAUUAAAGAA